rnacentral:rRNA from 1 species
GACGAACGCUGGCGGCGUGCUUAACACAUGCAAGUCGAACGGAAAGGCCCUGCUUUUGUGGGGUGCUCGAGUGGCGAACGGGUGAGUAACACGUGAGUAACCUGCCCUUGACUUUGGGAUAACUUCAGGAAACUGGGGCUAAUACCGGAUAUGAGCUCCUGCUGCAUGGGGGGGGUUGGAAAGUUUCGGCGGUUGGGGAUGGACUCGCGGCUUAUCAGCUUGUUGGUGGGGUAGUGGCUUACCAAGGCUUUGACGGGUAGCCCGCCUGAGAGGGUGACCGGCCACCUUGGGACUGCGGUACGGCCCAGACUCCUACGGGCGGCAGCAGUGGGGAAUAUUGCACAAUGGGCGGAAGCCUGAUGCAGCAACGCCGCGUGCGGGAUGACGGCCUUCGGGUUGUAAACCGCUUUCGCCUGUGACGAAGCGUGAGUGACGGUAAUGGGUAAAGAAGCACCGGCUAACUACGUG